AGGACGAACGCUGGCGGCGUGCCUAACACAUGCAAGUGGAGCGACGAACCAGGCUUCGGCCUGGGGCAAAGCCGCGAACGGGUGAGUAACACGUGGGUAACCUGCCCCGAUGAUUGGGACAACCCGAGGAAACUCGGGCUAAUACCGAAUGUGCCCUCCGGCCAUAAGGCCGCUGGGGAAAGGAAGCUUCGGCCUCCGCAUCGGGAUGGGCCCGCGGCCCAUUAGCUUGUUGGUGAGGUAACGGCUCACCAAGGCAACGAUGGGUAGCUGGUCUGAGAGGACGAUCAGCCACACUGGGACUGAGACACGGCCCAGACUCCCACGGGAGGCAGCAGUGGGGAAUCUUGCGCAAUGCGCGAAAGCGUGACGCAGCAACGCCGCGUGGGGGAAGAAGGCUUUCGGGUUGUAAACCCCUUUCAGUUGGGACGAAGCUUCUUCGGUGACUAGCCGAACGGAGUGACGGUACCUUCACAAGAAGCACCGGCUAACUACGUGCCAGCAGCCGCGGUAAUACGUAGGGUGCAAGCGUUGUCCGGAAUUAUUGGGCGUAAAGAGCGUGUAGGCGGCCCCAUUAGUCCGCUGUGAAAGUCCAGGGCUCAACCCUGGAAUGCCGGUGGAUACUGUGGGGCUAGAGUCCGGAAGGGGCGAGUGGAAUUCCUGGUGUAGCGGUGAAAUGCGCAGAUAUCAGGAGGAACACCAAUGGCGAAGGCAGCUCGCUGGGACGUGACUGACGCUGAGACGCGAAAGCGUGGGGAGCAAACAGGAUUAGAUACCCUGGUAGUCCACGCCGUAAACGUUGGGCGCUAGGUGUGGGAUCCUUCCACGGAUUCCGUGCCGCAGCUAACGCAUUAAGCGCCCGCCUGGGGA
rnacentral:rRNA from 1 species